rnacentral:rRNA from 1 species
CGGUCUGGUGGCGAGUGGCGAACGGGUGAGUAAUAUAUCGGAACGUGCCCUGGAGUGGGGGAUAACUAGUCGAAAGACUAGCUAAUACCGCAUACGAUCUACGGAUGAAAGUGGGGGAUCGCAAGACCUCAUGCUCGUGGAGCGGCCGAUAUCUGAUUAGCUAGUUGGUGGGGUAAAAGCCUACCAAGGCGUCGAUCAGUAGCUGGUCUGAGAGGACGACCAGCCACACUGGGACUGAGACACGGCCCAGACUCCUACGGGAGGCAGCAGUGGGGAAUUUUGGACAAUGGGGGCAACCCUGAUCCAGCAAUGCCGCGUGAGUGAAGAAGGCCUUCGGGUUGUAAAGCUCUUUUGUCAGGGAAGAAACGGUUCGGGCUAAUAUCCUGGGCUAAUGACGGUACCUGAAGAAUAAGCACCGGCUGACUACGUGCCAGCAGCCGCGGUAAUACGUAGGGUGCAAGCGUUAAUCGGAAUUACUGGGCGUAAAGCGUGCGCAGGCGGUUGUGCAAGACAGAUGUGAAAUCCCCGGGCUUAACCUGGGAAUUGCAUUUGUGACUGCACGGCUAGAGUGUGUCAGAGGGGGGUAGAAUUCCACGUGUAGCAGUGAAAUGCGUAGAGAUGUGGAGGAAUACCGAUGGCGAAGGCAGCCCCCUGGGAUAACAUUGACGCUCAUGCA